AGUUCGAUUGCAUAGGCUCAGAUUGAACGCUGGCAGGAUGCUACACAUACAAAGUCCAGGAACAGCGGCACGGACUUCGGUCUGGUGGCGAGUGGCGAACGGGUGAAGUAAUGUAUCGGAACGUCACCUAAUGUGGGGGAUAACUACGCGAAAGCGUAGCUAAUACCACAUACCGCCCUUCGAGAAAGCGGGGACCUUCGGGCCUCGCACUAUUAGAGCGGCCGAUAUCGGAUUGGCUGGUUGGUGGGGUAACGGCUCACCAAGGCGACGAUCCGUAGCUGGUUUGAGGAGGACGACCAGCCACACUGGGACAGAGACACGGCCCAGACUCCACCACGGGGAGGGCAGCAGUGGGGAAUUUUUGGACAAUGGGGGAAGCCUGGUCCAACCAUCCCGCGUGUGCGAUGAAGGCCUUCGGGUUGUAAAGCACUGGCAGAAAGAAACGGCACGGGGAUAAUACCCCGUGCAACUGACGGUACCUGCAGAAUGCUUUGGCUAACUACGUACCCAGCAGCCAUGAUAACCGUAGGGGUGCAAGCGUUAAUCAGAUUACUGGGCGUAAAGCAUUGCGCAGGCGGUUCGGAAAAGAAAGAUGUGAAAUCCCAGGCUUAACUUUGGAACUGCAUUUUUAACUAUGGCGAGCUAGAGAGUGUGUCAGAGGGAGGUGGAAUUCCCGCGUGUAGCAGUGAAAUGCGUAGAUGUGCGGAGGAACACCGAUGGCGAAGGCAGCCUCCUGGGAUAACACUGACGCUCAUGCACGAAAGCGUG
rnacentral:misc_RNA from 1 species